rnacentral:rRNA from 1 species
UACAGAGGGGGCAAGCGUUGUUCGGAAUUACUGGGCGUAAAGGGCGCGUAGGCGGCCUUCUAAGUCGAACGUGAAAUCCCCGGGCUCAACCCGGGAACUGCGUCCGAUACUGGAAGGCUUGAAUCCGGGAGAGGGAUGUGGAAUUCCAGGUGUAGCGGUGAAAUGCGUAGAUAUCUGGAGGAACACCGGUGGCGAAGGCGGCGUCCUGGACCAACACUGACACUGAUGAGCGAAAGCCAGGGGAGCAAACGGG